rnacentral:rRNA from 1 species
UGCAAGUCGAGCGAAUCUGAGGGAGCUUGCUCCCAAAGAUUAGCGGCGGACGGGUGAGUAACACGUGGGCAACCUGCCUGUAAGACUGGGAUAACUUCGGGAAACCGGAGCUAAUACCGGAUAAUCCUUUUCUACUCAUGUAGAAAAGCUGAAAGAUGGCUUCGGCUAUCACUUACAGAUGGGCCCGCGGCGCAUUAGCUAGUUGGUGAGGUAACGGCUCACCAAGGCGACGAUGCGUAGCCGACCUGAGAGGGUGAUCGGCCACACUGGGACUGAGACACGGCCCAGACUCCUACGGGAGGCAGCAGUAGGGAAUCUUCCGCAAUGGACGAAAGUCUGACGGAGCAACGCCGCGUGAGUGAUGAAGGUUUUCGGAUCGUAAAACUCUGUUGUUAGGGAAGAACAAGUACCGUUCGAAUAGGGCGGUACCUUGACGGUACCUAACCAGAAAGCCACGGCUAACUACGUGCCAGCAGCCGCGGUAAUACGUAGGUGGCAAGCGUUGUCCGGAAUUAUUGGGCGUAAAGCGCGCGCAGGUGGUUUCUUAAGUCUGAUGUGAAAGCCCCCGGCUCAACCGGGGAGGGUCAUUGGAAACUGGGAGACUUGAGUGCAGAAGAGGAAAGUGGAAUUCCAAGUGUAGCGGUGAAAUGCGUAGAGAUUUGGAGGAACACCAGUGGCGAAGGCGACUUUCUGGUCUGUAACUGACACUGAGGCGCGAAAGCGUGGGGAGCGAACAGGAUUAGAUACCCUGGUAGUCCACGCCGUAAACGAUGAGUGCUAAGUGUUAGAGGGUUUCCGCCCUUUAGUGCUGCAGCAAACGCAUUAAGCACUCCGCCUGGGGAGUACGGCCGCAAGGCUGAAACUCAAAGGAAUUGACGGGGGCCCGCACAAGCGGUGGAGCAUGUGGUUUAAUUCGAAGCAACGCGAAGAACCUUACCAGGUCUUGACAUCCUCUGACAAUCCUAGAGAUAGGACGUUCCCCUUCGGGGGACAGAGUGACAGGUGGUGCAUGGUUGUCGUCAGCUCGUGUCGUGAGAUGUUGGGUUAAGUCCCGCAACGAGCGCAACCCUUGAUCUUAGUUGCCAGCAUUCAGUUGGGCACUCUAAGGUGACUGCCGGUGACAAACCGGAGGAAGGUGGGGAUGACGUCAAAUCAUCAUGCCCCUUAUGACCUGGGCUACACACGUGCUACAAUGGAUGGUACAAAGGGCUGCAAGACCGCGAGGUUUAGCCAAUCCCAUAAAACCAUUCUCAGUUCGGAUUGCAGGCUGCAACUCGCCUGCAUGAAGCCGGAAUCGCUAGUAAUCGCGGAUCAGCAUGCCGCGGUGAAUACGUUCCCGGGCCUUGUACACACCGCCCGUCACACCACGAGAGUUUGUAACACCCGAAGUCGGUGGGGUAACCGCAAGGAGCCAGCCGCCUAAGGUGGGACAGAUGAUUGGGGUGAAGUCGUA